rnacentral:rRNA from 1 species
AACAGGAUUAGAUACCCUGGUAGUCCACGCCGUAAACGAUGUCGACUUGGAGGUUGUGCCCUUGAGGCGUGGCUUCCGGAGCUAACGCGUUAAGUCGACCGCCUGGGGAGUACGGCCGCAAGGUUAAAACUCAAAUGAAUUGACGGGGGCCCGCACAAGCGGUGGAGCAUGUGGUUUAAUUCGAUGCAACGCGAAGAACCUUACCUACUCUUGACAUCCACGGAAUUUGGCAGAGAUGCCUUAGUGCCUUCGGGAACCGUGAGACAGGUGCUGCAUGGCUGUCGUCAGCUCGUGUUGUGAAAUGUUGGGUUAAGUCCCGCAACGAGCGCAACCCUUAUCCUUUGUUGCCAGCGAGUAAUGUCGGGAACUCAAAGGAGACUGCCGGUGAUAAACCGGAGGAAGGUGGGGAUGACGUCAAGUCAUCAUGGCCCUUACGGCCAGGGCUACACACGUGCUACAAUGGCGCAUACAAAGAGAAGCGACCUCGCGAGAGCAAGCGGACCUCAUAAAGUGCGUCGUAGUCCGGAUCGGAGUCUGCAACUCGACUCCGUGAAGUCGGAAUCGCUAGUAAUCGUAGAUCAGAAUGCUACGGUGAAUACGUUCCCGGGCCUUGUACACACCGCCCGUCACACCAUGGGAGUGGGUUGCAAAAGAAGUAGGUAGCUUAACCUUCGGGAGGGCGCUUACCACUUUGUGAUUCAUGACUGGGGUGAAGUCGUAACAAGGUAACC